rnacentral:rRNA from 1 species
AGUCGAACGGACUUAACUCAUUCUUUUAGAUUGAGAGCGGUUAGUGGCCGAUUGGUGAGUAACACGUAAGCAACCUGCCUAUCAGAGGGGAAUAACAGUGAGAAAUCAUUGCUAAUACCGCAUAAGCUAGUAGUAUCGCACGAUAUAGCUAGAAAAGGAGCAAUCCGCUGAUAGAUGGGCUUGCGUCUGAUUAGCUAGUUGGUGGGGUAACGGCCUACCAAGGCGACGAUCAGUAGCCGGACUGAGAGGUUGAACGGCCACAUUGGGACUGAGAUACGGCCCAGACUCCUACGGGAGGCAGCAGUCGGGAAUAUUGCGCAAUGGAGGAAACUCUGACGCAGUGACGCCGCGUAUAGGAAGAAGGUUUUCGGAUUGUAAACUAUUGUCGUGAGGGAAGAAAUUGACAGUACCUCAGGAGGAAGCUCCGGCUAACUAUGUGCCAGCAGCCGCGGUAAUACAUAGGGAGCAAGCGUUAUCCGGAUUUAUUGGGUGUAAAGGGUGCGUAGACGGGAAAUUAAGUUAGUUGUGAAAUCCCUCGGCUUAACUGAGGAACUGCAACUAAAACUGAUUUUCUUGAGUACUGGAGAGGAAAGUGGAAUUCCUAGUGUAGCGGUGAAAUGCGUAGAUAUUAGGAGGAACACCAGUGGCGAAGGCGACUUUCCGGACAGUAACUGACGUUGAGGCACGAAAGUGUGGGGAGCAAACAGGAUUAGAUACCCUGGUAGUCCACACUGUAAACGAUGGAUACUAGCUGUCGGAGGUUACCCCCUUCGGUGGCGCAGCUAACGCAUUAAGCACUCCGCCUGGGGAGUACGGUCGCAAGACUGAAAC